UGGAGGGGUGAGCUGGUACCGGUGUGCCGAUAACGGCAGAGCUGUGUGUGGGAAGAGCAGGAAGAUCCAAGUGCCUGGUGCCUGGUGGCAAGAAAGCGCCUGUGAGGCCAGCACUCAAUUUCUGAGUCAAUUUCAGUUUUCAGUUUCAAUUGCUUUGCAAUCCAGAAAGGGAGGGCCAGCAGGGGUGGAAUGGAGGGAAAAGACAGAAGCCCAGAGAAGCCCAGCCCGGGGUUUGCCCUCAGAGGGGCUGAGGUGCAGCUGCAGCCACUGACUUGGAAGCGAAGGGCACCUGCAUAACCAAAGUCAGAGGCCCUGUUUUUCACCAAACAAAGCGAGUCCCUUCAUAUUUACACUUGAGCUCUUGAACAGCAGCACUGAACUAAAUAGGAGUUUGGCAUGGAUACAUAGCACAUCAGAUAAAUUCCUGAGAAGACAGAAAGACUCUUCCCUCUCCCUUCAAGUGCAUUUUUGAAGUCAACUCACAACUACCUCUUGUCUUGCCACUGACUCUCAUUAGACUGAAGGUUUUCCCAACUUGAGCCACAUCCACCUAAGGAGGGAAGGCCUGUGGUGCAGCUUGGGCUUCCUCACUCAUGUUGGUAGCCAACACCCUUGGCUGUGUGGAUUUUGGCUGAGAUGGUGAGGAGUGCUGCAACCCAAGUGUGAUCCACCGCCAACUCCGUCAGUGCUUCAUACUGAGAAUGGCUCCACAGCUACCCCACAGAACCAAGCGUUGCUCAGUGGAACUCACCUUGCCGAAGAGCAAGACUUUUCCUGGCUCCUGGACUGCUGCACAAACACGGCUGCUUGUGUUGUUUGGGCUAACAGUUCAAGUAUCCCAGCAAGUCCUACUUAAUAAGCUAUCUGAUAAGGCUUGAUUGUGCUUCACUGUGUUUAAAUUUCUUGGGGAACUGUUUAGAUGAUGAAAGUGCUCCAGUUCCUGCAUUUGUGUAAAACUCCAAAAUUAUAAAACACAGCCUUUAGUGUCUCAAGGUCUCAGAUGAUUGAAAUACCAAAAGGAUUUGCAUAUUGAAGUAUUUUACUCAGUAUCUCAACAUUAGCAUAGAUGAUACUUUGUGUAAAUAAUAUCUGUUUAUGCUUUGCUUUCUGUGUUACGUUUUGCUGGUGUGACUGUUAAAUAGAACAGUCAGAAAGCAAUUUUCUUCCUUGCAGUUCCAGAACCUACAGGACGAAAAGGUGUAGAUCAUCUAGUUUUUUUAUCUCAGCAACAGAGAUUGUGCCUUGCAUUUUUGAGACAUUCUUCUGAUUUGUUGAGCUUUAAACAGUAUUAUCAAAUUGUAGGUGGUGCUAUUUCUCUUUGGCAUUAUAUUUCCAUUAAAUAAUGUCUUUUGAAAAUGAUGUGUCCUCACAGACUGACAGUGUCUUAACAUUCAUCUGGAAAAAAAUCUGCAUUAAAUCUUAACUGAUCCUGGGUAAAUAGAGAAGUAUUCUUCUUGUUAUUAUGCAUUGACUUUCUCCUAUCUAAUUGCUCAUCCUUACAAGUUAUAGAACACAAGCUUCCGUUAUGUACUUGGCCUGAGCCUUAAUUUUUCAGAGCUAUUAAAGGAAAAAAAAAAAUUCAAGCAACAGACUAUGCUGUGACGAAUAAGGAAUUUCAAAGGAUAUACAGGAAACUUGUUGAAGUGAAUAUGUUUCAGACCUUCAAAAUGCCAUACUUCUCACACAUUCCUUUACCUCACAUUGAAGAUAUCCAG
rnacentral:lncRNA from 1 species